rnacentral:rRNA from 1 species
GGAAUCUUCCACAAUGGACGAAAGUCUGAUGGAGCAACGCCGCGUGAGCGAUGAAGGCCUUCGGGUCGUAAAGCUCUGUUGUUAGGGAAGAACAAGUGCGAGAGUAACUGCGCGCACCUUGACGGUACCUAACCAGAAAGCCACGGCUAACUACGUGCCAGCAGCCGCGGUAAUACGUAGGUGGCAAGCGUUGUCCGGAAUUAUUGGGCGUAAAGCGCGCGCAGGUGGUCCUUUAAGUCUGAUGUGAAAGCCCACGGCUCAACCGUGGAGGGUCAUUGGAAACUGGGGGACUUGAGUGCAGAAGAGGAAAGUGGAAUUCCAAGUGUAGCGGUGAAAUGCGUAGAGAUUUGGAGGAACACCAGUGGCGAAGGCGACUUUCUGGUCUGUAACUGACACUGAGGCGCGAAAGCGUGGGGAGCAAAC